CCUACGGGAGGCAGCAGUGAGGAAUAUUGGUCAAUGGGAGAGAUCCUGAACCAGCCAAGCCGCGUGAGGGAAGACGGCCCUAUGGGUUGUAAACCUCUUUUGUCGGAGAACAAAACCCGGGACGUGUCCCGGACUGCGUGUAUCCGAAGAAAAAGCAUCGGCUAACUCCGUGCCAGCAGCCGCGGUAAUACGGAGGAUGCGAGCGUUAUCCGGAUUUAUUGGGUUUAAAGGGUGCGUAGGCGGUCCGUUAAGUCAGCGGUAAAAUUGCGGGGCUCAACCCCGUCGAGCCAUUGAAACUGUCAGACUUGAGUUGGCGAGAAGUACGCGGAAUGCGCGGUGUAGCGGUGAAAUGCAUAGAUAUCGCGCAGAACUCCGAUUGCGAAGGCAGCGUACCGGCGCCACACUGACGCUGAGGCACGAAAGCGUGGGGAUCGAACAGGAUUAGAUACCCGAGUAGUC
rnacentral:rRNA from 1 species